AUUCACCUACGGGGGGCAGCAGCCGCGGUAAUACGUAGGUGGCAAGCGUUAUCCGGAAUUAUUGGGCGUAAAGAGCGCGCAGGUGGUUAAUUAAGUCUGAUGUGAAAGCCCACGGCUUAACCGUGGAGGGUCAUUGGAAACUGGUUGACUUGAGUGCAGAAGAGGGAAGUGGAAUUCCAUGUGUAGCGGUGAAAUGCGUAGAGAUAUGGAGGAACACCAGUGGCGAAGGCGGCUUCCUGGUCUGCAACUGACACUGAGGCGCGAAAGCGUGGGGAGCAAACAGGAUUAGAUACCCGUGUAGUCUA
rnacentral:rRNA from 1 species